UGCCAGCAGCCGCGGUAAGACGAAGGUGGCAACCGUUGUUCGGAAUUAUUGGGCGUAAAGGGCGCGCAGGCGGUCUUGUCCGUCAGGUGUGAAAGCUCGGGGCUCAACCCCGGAAGUGCACUUGAAACAGCAAGACUUGAAUACGGUAGAGGAGAGAGGAAUUCCUGGUGUAGAGGUGAAAUUCGUAGAUAUCAGGAGGAACACCGAUGGCGAAGGCAUCUCUCUGGACCGAUACUGACGCUGAGGCGCGAAGGCGUGGGUAGCGAACGGGAUUAGAUA
rnacentral:rRNA from 1 species